UCGAGAACCUUUCGCAAUGCCCGAAAGGGUGACGAAGCGACGCCGCGUGUGGGAAGAAGGCCUUCGGGUUGUAAACCACUGUCGGGAGUUAGGAAAUGCAGGUGCGUUAAUAGCGCACUUGCUUGACUAAGGCUCCAGAGGAAGCCACGGCUAACUCUGUGCCAGCAGCCGCGGUAAUACAGAGGCGGCAAGCGUUGUUCAGAAUUAUUGGGCGUAAAGAGCACGUAGGCGGCCUUGCAAGUCAGUUGUGAAAGCCUUCCGCUUAACGGAAGAACGGCAUCUGAUACUACAGGGCUUGAGUACGGGAGGGGAGAGUGGAACUUCUGGUGGAGCGGUGAAAUGCGUAGAUAUCAGAAGGAACGCCGGCGGCGAAAGCGACUCUCGUGGUCCGAAACUGACGCU
rnacentral:rRNA from 1 species